rnacentral:tRNA from 1 species
UGCGGAGUAGAGCAGUGGCAGCUCGUCAGGCUCAUAAUCUGAAGGUCUUAGGUUCGAGUCCUAACUCCGCGU